GACAAAGCAGCCGCAGUAAAGAAUUAUGAAUGUGCACAAAAGACCUUGACAGACUGAAAAUAUUAUGUUCUACCCUUUGACAUAGGGUAGCAAAAAUCUUUCUAGUGAUGUCCGGAGGCUUCUCUCGUGUAUGUCUACCGGAGUAUGGGUCCUUUACCCCACAAAUCAUAGAUCGAGUUAGUCUACAUGCCCCUCACUUUCUGAUCCAUGUUCAGGCUUGAGCCCUGUGAGUCUUCGUACAUCGUCGUCACCAUCUGAAUCCUCCAUUUCGUCAUCUGCAGAAAACAGAAUCUGACCAGCACAGGAGGAAGAGGCCAAAGAGUAAGACUGUGUUCAACUUAUCUUAAAAAAAAAAAAAAAACUUAUACUAAAAAGUGGAAUACUUUGUACCUUUGCUACCUUGUAAACCUAAAUUUAAGUAAUGUUCUCCAUUACAUACUAAGCUAAUUAUCUCUUUAAAAGUGAGAAAGAUGUACUUCUGACAUGUCUACAAAUUCGUAUUUGACAUGGAUAAAGCAUGUGGAUGGAAAUGCCACACUCAAAUGACAUGCCUCGUCUCAAAUCUAACACUAUCACAGGAAAUACAUGUAUUCAAGAGAUGUUGUUGGGUCAAACAUCAUAAAUAAAAAAUAUUAGUAGCAUGUAAGGAAACCACAUACACUGUGUUCUAUUUGGCCUAAAACAAAAACUGUCUUCCACUGAAAAGUCCAUUAAUGGAUCUUUUGUUAAUCGGAACAUUCUGUGCAGCCUUUUCUUUAAGGCAUACCUGCUUUGUUAGAUUGUAAACUCACUGACUUGUCAUUGUUAUAAUCACUUCAGGUCUGGAGGGUUGGGAAUGAUUAAGGAGCUGUCUUGCACACAAUGGGCCGGUAUUUGUACAAUGGAAAAAGGAGAUGUAAAAGGGGGAUGUCCCAUCUAGCACUUGGGUAGAGGGAUGAUUUUGAAUUUAACAUUGUAGGUCAAAGGAAAGCCCAAAAUAUAAAUUCUGACAUUUAAAAGAUGUUUAAGGAGAAGCAAGAGUGUCUUGCCAAAACAAAUCUGUUUCAGAUCUCAAAUGUUAAUACAUUUGUUGAUUUGUUUUAAUAAGUGUUUUAUAAAUUCCAUAAAUAAUGUUAUUUAUGAAUUAAAUGUAUUAUUUAUGUCAUCAGUCAUUUUGUUUAAUGGAAAUACAUUGUAUUCUGUGGUUUAAACAUGUAAAUAAUUUAAUUUCCAAUAAAAAUGUUAACAUUA